rnacentral:rRNA from 1 species
UACGUAGGUGGCGAGCGUUAUCCGGAAUUACUGGGCGUAAAGGGCGUGUAGGCGGCUCGGUAAGUCAGAUGUGAAAUCUCCCGGCUCAACCGGGAGCGUGCAUCUGAUACUGCAGAGCUUGAGUAUUAGAGAGGAAAGGGGAAUUCCUGGUGUAGCGGUGAAAUGCGUAGAUAUUAGGAGGAACACCAGUGGCGAAGGCGGCUUUCUGGCUAAUAACUGACGCUGAGGCGCGAAAGCGUGGGGAGCAAACAGG